rnacentral:tRNA from 1 species
GCCGAAAUCGCUCAGAAGGCAGAGCGUCAGGCUGAAGAUCUGAAGGUACCUGGUUCAAUCCCGGGUUUCGGCA